rnacentral:rRNA from 1 species
CUACGGGGGGCUGCAGUAAGGAAUAUUGCGCAAUGGAGGCAACUCUGACGCAGCCAUGCCGCGUGCAGGAAGAAGGCCUUAUGGGUCGUAAACUGCUUUUAUUUAGGAAUAAACCCCCGAACGUGUUCGGGGCUGAAGGUACUAAACGAAUAAGCACCGGCUAACUCCGUGCCAGCAGCCGCGGUAAUACGGGAGGGUGCAAGCGUUAUCCGGAUUUAUUGGGUUUAAAGGGUGCGCAGGCGGGCUAUUAAGUCAGUGGUGAAAUCCCGGGGCUCAACUCCGGAACUGCCAUUGAUACUGAUAGUCUUGAGUUUGGUUGAAGUGGGCGGAAUGUAGCAUGUAGCGGUGAAAUGCAUAGAUAUGCUACAGAACACCAAUCGCGAAGGCAGCUCACUAAGCCAAAACUGACGCUCAUGCACGAAAGCGUGGGGAUCAAACAGGAUUAGAUACCCUUGUAGUC